GACGAACGCUGGCGGCGUGCUUAACACAUGCAAGUCGAACGGAAGGGCCCUGCUUUUGUGGGGUGCUCGAGUGGCGAACGGGUGAGUAUCACGUGAGUAACCUGCCCUUGACUUUGGGAUAACUUCAGGAAACUGGGGCUAAUACCGGAUAGGAGCUCCUGCUGCAUGGUGGGGGUUGGAAAGUUUCGGCGGUUGGGGAUGGACUCGCGGCUUAUCAGCUUGUUGGUGGGGUAGUGGCUUACCAAGGCUUUGACGGGUAGCCGGCCUGAGAGGGUGACCGGCCACAUUGGGACUGAGAUACGGCCCAGACUCCUACGGGAGGCAGCAGUGGGGAAUAUUGCACAAUGGGCGGAAGCCUGAUGCAGCAACGCCGCGUGCGGGAUGACGGCCUUCGGGUUGUAAACCGCUUUCGCCUGUGACGAAGCGUGAGUGACGGUAAUGGGUAAAGAAGCACCGGCUAACUACGUG
rnacentral:rRNA from 1 species